rnacentral:tRNA from 1 species
GUCCGGGAUGGCCAGGAAGCGGCCGCGCUUCUGGCGCGGGAACUCGAAGGUCACCACCGGUUCGGCGGCCGGGUCCGGCUGC